rnacentral:rRNA from 1 species
CCCUUAGAUGUUCUGGGCCGCACGCGCGCUACACUGACGAAGUCAGCGAGCAUGUCCUACGCCGACAGGUGCGUGGAAUCUUGUCAAACUUCGUCGUGAUGGGGAUUGAUUAUUGAAAUUCUUGAUCAUCAACGAGGAAUUCCUAGUAAGCGCAAGUCAGCAGCUUGCGUUGAUUACGUCCCUGCCCUUUGUACACACCGCCCGUCGCUACUACCGAUUGAAUGGUUUAGUGAGAUCUUCGGAUUGGCGCCACUGCGGCUCAGCAAUGGGCUCGGUGGAUGCCGAAAAGUUGAUCAAACUUGAUCAUUUAGAGGAAGUAAAAGUCGUAACA